rnacentral:tRNA from 1 species
GCCUGGCUAGCUCAGUCGGUAGAGCAUGAGACUCUUAAUCUCAGGGUUGUGCGUUCAUGCCCCACAUUGGGUG